CACGUAGGGUGCAAGCGUUGUCCGGAAUUAUUGGGCGUAAAGAGCUCGUAGGCGGUCUGUUGCGUCGGCUGUCGAAAGUCCAGGGCUCAACCCUGGGAUGCCGGUCGAUACUGCCGGACUAGAGUUCGGAAGAGGCGAGUGGAAUUCCUGGUGUAGCGGUGAAAUGCGCAGAUAUCGGAAGGAACAUCAGUGGCGAAAGCGGCUUCCUGGACCAGUACCGGACGUUCAGGCACGAAAGCGUGGGGAGCAAACAGG
rnacentral:rRNA from 1 species